CGCGGCCGUGGUCGAGCACGACGAUGAGGUCGGAGUCGACCACCGUCGAGAGCCGGUGCGCGAUCACGAGCAGGGUUCGAUCCUCGGCGACCGCGUC
rnacentral:tRNA from 1 species